rnacentral:rRNA from 1 species
UUGCUUUCAGCGAUGGAUGUCUUGGCUCGAACAAUGAUGAAGGGCGCAGCGAAGUGUGAUGAGCAUUGUGAGUUGCAGGAUUCCGUGAGCCAACAAGGAAUUGAAUGCGCACAGCACUUUCGGGAUAGCCUUGCAAGCGUGCAUGCGUCGGCGUCU